AAUGAACGUUGGCGGCGUGGAUUAGGCAUGCAAGUCGAGCGAGAACCGUAGCAAUACGGGGACAGCGGCGAAAGGGACAGUAAUGUGUAGGUACCUACCCCCGGGUUCGGGAUAGCUGCGGGAAACUGCAGGUAAUACCGAAUAAUGUCUUCGGACCAAAGGUGUGAUUCCACCUGGGGAGGGGCCUGCAUCCUAUUAGCUUGUUGGUGGGGUAACGGCUUACCAAGGCGACGAUGGGUAGCGGGUGUGAGAGCAUGACCCGCGUCAUUGGGACUGAGCCACUGCGCAGACACCUACGGGUGGCUGCAGUCGAGGAUCUUCGGCAAUGGGCGCAAGCCUGACCGAGCGACGCCGCGUGCGGGAUGAAGGCCUUCGGGUUGUAAACCGCUGUCGUAGAGGAGGAAAUGCAGGAGGGUUCUCCCUUCUGUUUGACCUAUUCUAGGAGGAAGUACGGGCUAAGUUCGUGCCAGCCGCCGCCGUAA
rnacentral:rRNA from 1 species